rnacentral:rRNA from 1 species
GAUGAACGCUGGCGGCGUGCCUAAUACAUGCGAGUCGAGCGAACGGACGAGAAGCUUGCUUCUCUGAUGUUAGCGGCGGACGGGUGAGUAACACGUGGAUAACCUACCUAUAAGGCUGGGAUAACUUCGGGAAACCGGAGCUAAUACCGGAUAAUAUUUUGAACCGCAUGGUUCAAAAGUGAAAGACGGUCUUGCUGUCACUUAUAGAUGGAUCCGCGCUGCAUUAGCUAGUUGGUAAGGUAACGGCUUACCAAGGCAACGAUGCAUAGCCGACCUGAGAGGGUGAUCGGCCACACUGGAACUGAGACACGGUCCAGACUCCUACGGGAGGCAGCAGUAGGGAAUCUUCCGCAAUGGGCGAAAGCCUGACGGAGCAACGCCGCGUGAGUGAUGAAGGUCUUCGGAUCGUAAAACUCUGUUAUUAGGGAAGAACAUAUGUGUAAGUAACUGUGCACAUCUUGACGGUACCUAAUCAGAAAGCCACGGCUAACUACGUG